CGCCUACGGGACGCAGCAGUGGGGGAUAUUGCACAAUGGGGGAAACCCUGAUGCAGCGACGCCGCGUGAGUGAAGACGGCCUUCGGGUUGUAAAGCUCUGUCAAUCGGGACGAAGAAGAUGACGGUACCGAUGAAGGAAGCUACGGCUAACUACGUGCCAGCAGCCGCGGUAAUACGUAGGUGGCGAGCGUUAUCCGGAAUGAUUGGGCGUAAAGGGUGCGCAGGCGGUCCUGCAAGUCUGGAGUGAAACGCAUGAGCUCAACUCAUGCAUGGCUUUGGAAACUGGAGGACUGGAGAGCAGGAGG
rnacentral:rRNA from 1 species